GACGAACGCUGGCGGUGUGCUUAACACAUGCAAGUCGAACGCUGAAGCCUAGCUUGCUGGGUGGAUGAGUGGCGAACGGGUGAGUAACACGUGAGUAACCUGCCCCCUUCUUUGGGAUAACGCCCGGAAACGGGUGCUAAUACUGGAUAUUCACUGGUCUUCGCAUGGGGGUUGGUGGAAAGGUUUUUUCUGGUGGGGGAUGGGCUCGCGGCCUAUCAGCUUGUUGGUGGGGUGAUGGCCUACCAAGGCUUUGACGGGUAGCCGGCCUGAGAGGGUGACCGGUCACAUUGGGACUGAGAUACGGCCCAGACUCCUACGGGAGGCAGCAGUGGGGAAUAUUGCACAAUGGGCGAAAGCCUGAUGCAGCGACGCCGCGUGAGGGAUGGAGGCCUUCGGGUUGUAAACCUCUUUCGCUCAUGGUCAAGCCGCAACUUGGGGUUGUGGUGAGGGUAGUGGGUAAAGAAGCGCCGGCUAACUACGUGCCAGCAGCCGCGGUAAUACGUAGGGCGCGAGCGUUGUCCGGAAUUAUUGGGCGUAAAGGGCUUGUAGGCGGUUGGUCGCGUCUGCCGUGAAAUCCUCUGGCUUAACUGGGGGCGUGCGGUGGGUACGGGCUGACUUGAGUGCGGUAGGGGAGACUGGAACUCCUGGUGUAGCGGUGGAAUGCGCAGAUAUCAGGAAGAACACCGGUGGCGAAGGCGGGUCUCUGGGCCGUUACUGACGCUGAGGAGCGAAAGCGUGGGGAGCGAACAGG
rnacentral:rRNA from 1 species